CAGCAGCCACGGUAAUACGAAGGGGGCUAGCGUUGUUCGGAAUUACUGGGCGUAAAGCGCACGUAGGCGGAUAUUUAAGUCAGGGGUGAAAUCCCGCAGCUCAACUGCGGAACUGCCUUUGAUACUGGGUAUCUUGAGUAUGGAAGAGGUUAGUGGAAUUGCGAGUGUAGAGGUGAAAUUCGUAGAUAUUCGCAGGAACACCAGUGGCGAAGGCGGCUAACUGGUCCAUAACUGACGCUGAGGUGCGAAAGCGUGGGGAGCAAACAGGAUUAGAUACCCCCGUAGUCCCUGUCUCUUAUAA
rnacentral:rRNA from 1 species